rnacentral:rRNA from 1 species
UACAGAGGUCCCAAGCGUUGUUCGGAUUCACUGGGCGUAAAGGGUGCGUAGGUGGCGGGGUAAGUUUGAUGUGAAAUCUCCGAGCUCAACUCGGAAAUGGCAUUGAAUACUACUCUGCUCGAGGUUUGGAGGGGGACGUGGAAUCUCGGUGUAGCAGUGAAAUGCGUAGAUAUCGAGAGGAACACCAGUGGCGAAGGCGGCGACCUGGACAGUUACUGACACUCAACUACGAAAGCGUGGGGAGCAAACAGG